rnacentral:lncRNA from 1 species
UCAAGUGGAGCAGGGAGAGGGGGAGCACAUCCACCUGGCAGAGGGAGUGUGUGUAAAAGUCCUGAGCAGGUGUGGCCACGGUGCUUGGCCAGCCAAGAGCGGUAAGUGAGUGGGAAAGACCUGCAAAGGAAAACAGAAGGAAAAGGCAAUCCUCAAACACUUGAUGCAUGACCUGCUUUCUCCAAGUGGUGUCUUAAUGAUCACCUUCCUUCGGCUUCUCCUCUUUUUUAAUAUCAAAACAUACACAGACUUGGCUCUACAGGAUCCUCCACAACUGCCUUCUGCACGACCUUCACACCAGACCAGAGGUUGCUACACCCCAACUGCAGUACUUGUAUUUCAAUGA